rnacentral:rRNA from 1 species
UACGUAGGGACCAAGCGUUGUUCGGGUUUACUGGGCGUAAAGGGCGCGUAGGCGGCGUGUUAAGUCAGCUGUGAAAUCUCCGAGCUUAACUCGGAACGGUCAGCUGAUACUGAUGUGCUAGAGUGCAGAAGGGGCAAUCGGAAUUCUUGGUGUAGCGGUGAAAUGCGUAGAUAUCAAGAGGAACACCUGAGGUGAAGACGGGUUGCUGGGCUGACACUGACGCUGGAGGCGCGAAAGCUAGGGUAGCAAACGGG